GUUUGUAGAAUAAAUAAUUAUACAUUAUUUACAUGAAAAAAAGACGUCGGGCCUUAUUUUUCAGCCAGCCUAGACAUAAGGGCCUGCUGUUUCCCGCCGACCUUGACGUUCUAGGCCGGCUAGAAACAUCCAACCCUUAUGUCUGGGCCGAUUGUUUCCUGUCGGCCUCGGACCUUUUUUUUAAUAAUAUUUAAGUAUUUAUUUUAUAAUUUAUUUAUUUAUAUUUCAUGAAUUAUGUUAAUUGUUUAUAUGUAUAUUAUUUAUUGAAGUAAAUAAAUAACUAAUUGAAAUAAAUAUUAAUGAAAUAAUUAAAAUAAUCAAUGAAUUAUUUUAAGUAAAAAAUUAAAUUAAAUAUGAAAUGAACAAUUAAAAAAAUUAUAUAUUAAUUCCUUAUGUUUAAUCUAUUUUCUAAUUUUUUAAAUUUGUGGCAGUUAUGGUAUCAGCAUGUAUCCCAAUUUGUUAUUUCGGUAAAUUUCAAAAGAGUGAAAUUGCUUAGUGAGAAUGAAAAUGGACGAGUGAAGGAGAUGGGGUUAAAGCAAUUUUUGUAACAAGGAGUACAUCGUUUACAGAAAAAUGUACAAAACAUUCUUAACGUCGAUUCCUCUCAGUAUGAUAUGGGAUUGGAAUUUUUAUUUCAUAAGCAUUCAACCAUUUCGAUUCCAUCUAUGAGAGUUACUUUUGAAGUGAAGAUGAAGCAUCUAAUUAAAUUAAACCAAGGUCAAAAGUCGACUCCUAUUUGCCUAACUUUAUUGAGGAAGAAUGUUCCCAAAAGUGAACACGAAAUUUUCGAUGAAGGGAAUCUUAAUGUAAAUGAUGUUUGGGAUACAAUUCAGAUUGUUCAUGAAGAUGAUGUGGUUAUUCCCCAGACAAUUACUACUCACCAUGAUCACACUGUUACGCAUAGAAUUUCCUCGACAGUUGAAGACAACGAGAAUGAAAAACGCAUUUACAAAUAAAAAUUCGAUUGCUUUAUCCCAUAUGAGACAUGAGUCGAGUGGGAGCUCACAGGCCGGAUCGAGUACAUGGUCCUCUAAUUGCUCGUGUGUGGUUCCAGAUGACGAAAAUGUAUAUGUCGAGCAACUGUUUGAAUCAAAAAAUGAAUUGCAGAAAGUUGUGCACCGAAUUGCUUUGAAACAUAACUUUGAGUUUAAAGUGAAGAAAUCAAACAAGUCGACGUACACAAUUAUCUGUGUUGACGAUAGUUGCCAUUGGCAUUUGUGAGCAAUGAAGAUGGACACGAAUGAGUUCUUUGUGGUUCGUAAGUAUGCACGGGAACAUACUUGCGAAGUGGGUAUUCGUCAAAAUAAUCACAAGCAGACCCGAUCAUUGUUCAUUGGUCGAGAAAUAAUGCACAAUUUUCAUGACCCACGAACUAUCUACAGACCUUCAGACAUCAUUAAUGAUGUUAGACAAGAAUACGGGAUGGUCAUGAGUUAUCAGAAAGCUUGGAAGGUCAAAGAAUGCGCAUUAGAGGACUUGAUGGUUCGACCGAGGAGAGUUAUGUUAAAUUGGCCAAAGUAUUUCAUUAUUUAGGUGUUUAUUUCUAUGUUAUUUUAAAUAUUAAUUAUUUUAUUUCAAUUAUUUAUGUAAUUAUGUAAUUCAAUUAUGUAUUCAAUAUGUAAUUAAUUAUUUAAUUGAAUUGUUUAUUUUUCUUUUAAUUUAAUAUUUAAUUGAUUAUCUAAAUUAUGAUUAUUGUUUAUUUACAUUGGUCCGGUAUUACUAUAACAUGGGAAGCAUUAAUACUGAAUCAUCAUUUUUUAUUAAGAAGGAUGACGAUAAUCACUUCAAGUAUUUCUUUACGGCCCUUGGACAAUGCGUUCGAGGAUUUCGAAACGCAAUGUGAUCCCUAAUCCUAGUCAACAGUACAACCCUUAAGGUGAGUUGCAGGGGUAAGUUGAUUAUUGCAACAUGUCAAGAUACCAACAUCCAAAUUUAACCUUUUAAAUUCGGCUCAGUCGACAGAGAAAAUGAUCUAACGAUGAGUUGGUUUUUCACGAAGUUGAAGGAAGUAAUUGGAGAUGUCGAGAACCUUGCAUUCGUAACCGAUCAAGGGCAGUCAAUAAUAAAUGGUAUCGCCGAAAUUUUUCCCGAAGCACAUCAUGAUUAUUAUAUGUACCAUAUACAGGGAAACCUGAAGACCAGGUAUCGAGGCAAGGGUAUCAUUGCAUUGUUUAGUAGAGCUGUAGAGUUUUACAAUUUUGAAGAGUUUGAGAAGUUUAUGGUCGAAAUAGAUAGUAAAUCGCAUGCUGCAUGGGAGUAUCUAACAGAGAUGAGGAUUGAACAUUGGACACGAUCACAUUUUUCAAGACGUCGAUACAAUAUGAUGAUAUCGAACAAUGCGGAGUCGCUUAAUACCUUAUCUAAGAAAGAUCGAGAGUUAUCAAUUCUCGCAAUGAUUGAAAACAUUCAUGACAAGACAACAGUGAUUUCAUGAUCGACGUGAAGAAUCACAGAGUUGCACAAGUGUGCUAACCCCGGUUCAGGAAGCUAAACUCUUCAAAACUCUAGAUGUGGCGAGAAAGGUAUAUAUAGAACCACUGGAUCAGUUUUGCUCCUCCGUGAGAUGUGCAUGUAAUUUCGGAUACAUCGUGGACUUGAAUGAUAACAAGUGCACAUGUAGACAGUUUCAGUUGGAGAAUUUUCCUUACAUACAUGCAGUGGCUAUAUUUAGAGGAUUUCCAUGACACCUUAUGUAGUGCUUAUUACAUGACUGAUUAUUGGAGAGCAGCGUAUUCCAAAAUAAUAUUUUCCUGUACCAAAUGAAGUCGAAUGAAAAGUUUUUGAUCACAUUCUCUCACCGAAUAACUUGUUACCACAGCAGUCGGACCACGUACUCCUGGACGUACACUGUAAUUAUUUAUAACAUUGAUGUUAAUUAUUUAUCGAAGAAUUUAUAACUUGUCUAGAAUAUCAUCUAUCGAAGAAUUUCCCCAACAUUGUAAGUGCGGUGUAACAGUGCAUGCUAGAAAAAUAUUGUACAAAAUAGAUUCCUCUGCAUGACAAUGUAAUAGAUGUGUAAUUUUACAUUUGUUAAUAAAAUAUCGACAGUGUAAUUAUUUAUAACCUUGAUAUUAAUUAUUUAUGCAUAUUAUUUAAGUUAAUUAUUAGAUUUAAUUUUUUUAUUUAAACAUUUCGUUAAUUAGUUCCAUUGGCUAUGCACAUUAUUUAUGUUAAUUAUUUGAAAUCGUAGUAUUCGAAUUGUUUUUAAACACACUACGCUCUCCACAAUACACACAAACAUUAUAA
rnacentral:lncRNA from 1 species